rnacentral:misc_RNA from 1 species
AAGUCGUAACAAGGUCUCCGUUGGUGAACCAGCGGAGGGAUCAUUAUAGAGUUUUCUAAACUCCCAACCCAUGUGAACUUACCAAUUGUUGCCUCGGCAGAAGCUACCCGGUACCUUACCUUGGUACGGCCUACCCUGUAGCGCCUUACCCUGGAACGGGCUACCCUGUAGCGGCUGCCGGUGGACUACUAAACUCUUGUUAUUUUAUGGUUAUCUGAGCGUCUUAUUUUAAUAAGUCAAAACUUUCAACAACGGAUCUCUUGGUUCUG